CGCGUAGGCGGCCCGUCAAGUCCCGUGUGAAAGCCCCCGGCUCAACCGGGGAAUGGCACGGGAAACUAGCAGGCUUGAGUUCGGGAGAGGGAAGCGGAAUUUCGGGUGUAGCGGUGAAAUGCGCAGAUAUCCGAAGGAACACCGGUGGCGAAGGCGGCUUCCUGGACCGACACUGACGCUGAGGCGCGAAAGCUAGGGGAGCAAACGG
rnacentral:rRNA from 1 species